CUGCAGCUGAUGGCUUCAUGAGGGGCGCCUUAUUUAAGAAGGUGGCGGAGCCCCAGUCGGUGCGGGAUUAUACUAAGUCGAACCUGAGUCGGGAGUCAGGAACGUCGUCACGAGGGGAAAUCACAGAGUGGAAUCGGGUUUUUGGAGUUGUCACCUUUUCACUGCUAUGGACACGUGCACUGUGUGGGAUUCUUGGAGGAAUCGCCACAGGAGUCACAGUGCUUGAAUUGUAUAUAGUUGUCGUUUCUGUCCACUCGCCAUAAAUAAAUCCACUGUCCUUCACUUGA